CCUACGGGAGGCAGCAGUGGGGAAUAUUGGACAAUGGGGGCAACCCUGAUCCAGCCAUGCCGCGUGUGUGAAGAAGGCUUUCGGGUUGUAAAGCACUUUCAGUGAGGAGGAAGGCUUUCAGAUUAAUACUCUGGAGGAUUGACGUUACUCACAGAAGAAGCACCGGCUAACUCCGUGCCAGCAGCCGCGGUAAUACGGAGGGUGCAAGCGUUAAUCGGAAUUACUGGGCGUAAAGCGCGCGUAGGUGGUUUGAUAAGCGAGAUGUGAAAGCCCCGGGCUUAACCUGGGAACGGCAUUUCGAACUGUCAGGCUAGAGUGUGGUAGAGGGUAGUGGAAUUUCCUGUGUAGCGGUGAAAUGCGUAGAUAUAGGAAGGAACACCAGUGGCGAAGGCGGCUACCUGGACCAACACUGACACUGAGGUGCGAAAGUGUGGGGAGCAAACAGGAUUAGAUACCCUGGUAGUCCACACCGUAAACGAUGAAUGCCAGACGUCAGCAAGUAUACUUGUUGGUGUCACACCUAACGGAUUAAGCAUUCCGCCUGGGGAGUACGGUCGCAAGAUUAAAACUCAAAUGAAUUGACGG
rnacentral:rRNA from 1 species